GGGGGAUAUUGCACAAUGGAGGAAACUCUGAUGCAGCGACGCCGCGUGAGGGAAGAAGGUCUUCGGAUUGUAAACCUCUGUCUUUGGGGACGAAGAAAGUGACGGUACCCAAAGAGGAAGCCACGGCUAACUACGUGCCAGCAGCCGCGGUAAUACGUAGGUGGCGAGCGUUGUCCGGAAUUACUGGGUGUAAAGGGUGCGUAGGCGGACUGGCAAGUUGGAUGUGAAAUCUCCGCGCUUAACGUGGAGGUUGCAUUCAAAACUGUUGGUCUUGAGUGAGGCAGAGGCAGGCGGAAUUCCCGGUGUAGCGGUGAAAUGCGUAGAGAUCGGGAGGAACACCAGUGGCGAAGGCGGCCUGCUGGGCCUUAACUGACGCUGAGGCACGAAAGCAUGGGUAGCAAACA
rnacentral:rRNA from 1 species